GUAGAGAGAGAAAGAGGGAAGGGGAGGGGAGGCAGGAAGUCUGUGUCAAUAGCUGUGAGGAAAGACCAAAACUCACCAUUAAAUACUCCAUCUAUGACACAGUAGAGCAGAUUCGGGAAGGAGAGGGUGCAUUUACAAAAAUGGAGAGGGGGAGUUACGAGGGUUCCCCUACCUAAAACAUGCAUGGUUGCGCUUUCUUUUGUGAUCUUUAGAGGUGUGAAAGCUUUUGCUUCUUUCCCUUUAAAUUUGAGCUCUUACUUUUCCAAAUUUCCCAACAAGCACCUAACCUCACUCCCCCCAUUUGGUUCAUCCUUCAAUUUGUUUGAUGUGUUGGUUUGAGAGGUUGAAGCUGCCAGCAUGAUCUGGUCAUCUUGCAGCUUCAAUCACUCAUUCACCAACAGCAGAAGAGAUUCGGAAACAUGCUUUCUGGGGUCUAAUUUGCUCUCACAAGAGCUUAAUUCAUACAGGUAUUAAGUAUUUGGUUCCUCAAAGUUUCAUCUUCCCUUUUCUUUUCUUUUUGUUUAUCUCUGGAUUAAUUAUCAUUGAAACUGCAAUUUCUAGUUGGUUAUAAUGUGAUUUUUAUCUCAUUAAUCAACAUCUCUAUCUUUCUUUAUUGCAUACACAAGAAUUAUGCAUAUGCAAACAUAAGCAUGCAGACACUCACAAAUCUGCCUUGUCCAAUCAGAAUAUUGACGGAUUUUUAACCUACUCAGAUCCAGCUAUGUAUCUUACAACAACUAAAAAAUGUCAAGAAAGACUAUAUUAUCCAUCACUCUCCUCUCUUCAUGGCUGUAUGCUUCCAUGUUUGUCUUUAUUAGGCUGCAGGUAUAUAUCAAGAAUCAAUAGGUAAAUUAAAUUCACAAGACACAAGAAAAGCAUGCUGAUUAGAAAAUUUAUAUGUUUUAUUUAAAUUGGGUAGAUAUACGGUGGUAAAUCCUAUGCUCUCGUAACAUGCCAUAUACAAUUGGUUUUUGCGAUCUGUUUUCCUUGUACUUCAAUAAAUAAUUUUUAGCCUCAUUUAACCUUUUUAGUUUUUACUGAUUUUGGGAGUGAAACUGGAUAGGAGACAAAGGGUGGUACAAAUUUGGUUUCAUCCUUAAUUCCACAAGGUUAGUGGUCCAGUUUGGUGUUGCAUGAUCCACAGUUCUGAGCAGACAUUGACACUCCUCCACAGGAUGUUCCUUUCAUCUAUUGGACAAUGUUUAGCAUUCUGUGGCUUCCCAAUUGUAGACGGUUAGCUCACAUAUAUAGUAUUAGUACUCCAACACUUCCGUAUGAGGUUUCAAUUUAGGAAUUUUGAUAGAGUGAUGCUUCAAAAAGCCUUUAGAUGAUUCAAUCUCUCUAUCAGACAUUCAAGCAUAACAUCAGAAAUUCUUUUCUUUUUGUCCCUGUGUUUAAAAACGAGGCUGUUGCUUUACUUUCCAUUUCUCAUUCUGUAUCUUAAGGGAAAAAGAUUUGGUAUGACAAUUGUUUCCAAAAUAUCCGAUCCAAAACAAGGCUCAUUGGCAUGACAUUGCAUGGUUCAUUCCCAUGCACACAUUUUGAGUCUUCUGGUGACAAACUUGACAUUUCGUGCAAAUUAUAGAAAUCUCUCCGUAACAUUUUCGUCACAUAACAAAAAGUCUAUCUAAUUUCUGGCCAAGUCAUAUACUGUAUACAAGUUGUUUUAUGAAAAUGGAAAAUGUUGCACUAACAUAAAGAAGUAUGCAUUGUGUCAGUAGGUGUUGAUUAAGAAUACAAGGGAUAUGAAUAUAGCCCCUAUAUAGGGCAGGUCUUAAUUAUAUAAAAAGGGAUUCUAGUGUUUUUACAUCAACUGUUCUGAGAAGUUAGCUAAUUUCUGAUAUCAAGUUUCGGUAACAAUGGACAAGUAUAUGACUUGUUCCUUCAAGUUGUUGCAAAGAUAGGGAAACCACUUCAUAUUCAUAUCUGCAAAAGAUCGAUGCUUCCAGUUGCAAUUUCUUGGCUAUAUUCUUUACAUAUUAAUUGAAAAGAUUUAAUAUUACCCUGAUCAUAUAGCUGCCUAAUUAAACGGUGGUGAUAAUCAAGUUGUCACAUAGGGAAUAUGGAGUAGUGUUUGUGGUUGGAUUUGUUCUUGAAAAUACAACUUCGAUGCGAUUUUAGUGACAACAUGGAUUAGAUUGUUACCAAUGUAUUUCUCCUUCAAUUCUUUUUCCCGUCUUUAUCAUGACUAUCAGCAUCUGAAGAUUGGAUACACUGUUUUAUUUUCCACCUUAUAGACAAUAAUUGUUGUCCACAGAUACAACAUAUUCUAGUUCUAAGUCAUACAAUAUAUCAUAUCACUACCAGAAUAAAAAUUGGAUAUUGCUAUUUUUAAUAUCAAUUAAAUUGUAGUUUGUGGUAGAGCUUUCUUUCUAGUGCUGUUGAGAAUCAAGCAAGUUGGAAAAUGCUGUUCUUUUUCUUCAUGUUCCUGUGUUCUACUUUAAUCAGUUACUAUAGUUAGGGACAUAUAAUUAAGUUUUGAGAUGAAGGAGCAGAUGCUGACUUGUUUGCCCUAAUAAAAGCUUAGAGAAAUCUCAUCUUAAUUUUGGAGGAUUUAAAUGUGUAUACCAUCUAUAUGUAAAUCAUUAGCCUUUCUCGUUAAUCUUGAAAUAAAUUGAUAAUUAAUCCCAUCAAUCUGGUUGAGAGGAACACAAGAAAUUAUUUAUCUUAGGAUCCAUUUUUGUUUCAAUAGAGCUGCAUGUACUAGUAGGGAUUGUCACUUGAUUUCUAGAACCUAUGAAUUACUACAAAACUUGAUUAAUAUGUGAAGUUCAUUAUUAGAUUAGUAUAAUUGUGUGCUAGAGAUGAAUCGAAGAUCUAUAUGGAAGAGGAGGUAAGUUUAUCAUUUUCUAUAUGAUGAUUGUGUGUUACAUUUAGACCUUUUCAA